rnacentral:lncRNA from 1 species
AUAAUUGUUGGUCUAUGAAGGUGUUGUUGCGUUGCCGACGAAGAGAAUGAAUCAACGAAGAAUCCAGAGUAAUUUCCGCGAGAUCUCGAACGAAUCUGUAUCCGAUCCGAAGUCCGGCCAAAUCGUAAGCUCCGAUGAUCCUUCUUCUUCUUCUUCUUCUCGUUCUUAGUUUGUUUCUCUGAAUUCUGUGAAACUCUUUUGGCUAUGGAGUUGUGGUUUUUGGUUUUUGCUACCUCUUCAAUCUCUCUUUCUGUUUCAUUCUAUGAAGGUUGUGUGUAGUUAAAAUGGUGAGUGAAGAUUGGUGAGGUUUGAAUGGUUCAAAGUUGACGGAAGGUUUGGUGAUUUGUGAAGUGGAGAUUUUGAGGAGGGUUGUUGAAUGAUGGUGAAGAUGAUGGAGUGAAGUUGGGGGUUCUGUUAAGGGUGGUCUUAUUGAAGGUUGGGGCGUCAAGAAGCUGUUGUGGGCGUGAGGCUCCGUUAGCCGGUUUUCAGAAGAAAAAAUAGUUAUUUUAACUUUCCGUUCCAUCCCCUUUUUUUCUAUUGGAGUUUGUUAUGAGAAGUAAAUCAGCUCGGUUUUGGGAGGUUUUCUUUGUAGGGUAUUCAAGGAUUGGUUUUGUCAUGUGGAGAGCGAUUGGAGGUCCUUUUUCUUUCAAUGUCAGUUGGAAAUCCUGAGUUAGAGUGUGGAUUUGGUUAGUGUCGUGAGGUUGUAACGGUCGGGAUUCAGUUAUCCUUUCUGUCGGAGGUUAGAAUUUGUUUUUUGAAGACACUCUGCUAGUUAUCAAUGUCAGUUACAAUGUGAUUGCAAUUUUACUGGACAUUCUGUUAGGGAGGUUAGAAAUCCGUACAGGUCAUUGAAGGGUUAUUUUGAAUCGGUUAGAGAAGGGUUAGUUUGUUAGUUGUGUAGAAGUUUGUUGGAAGGUUUAUUGAAUUGGUUGAAAUUGUGUACAUUGGUUUUUCUCUGCUGCAGGUCUUUGAAUGCUAUAAAUUAGAAGGAACUUGGAAUUCUGCCGGUUUUUCUCAAAGUUGGUUCUCAGUUUGGAAGUCAAGAGAUUUUGUUCAAUCUUUUGUGUGAGCAGAUAACUUUUUGGAGUUUAUUUCUCUAUUUCAAUUGUGAUGCAGGGUCAUUGGUUUUAUGUUUUUUCUAUUAUGCUCCCAUUGAGAGGUUUUAUGUUUUUUCUAUUAUGCUCCCAUUGAGAGCUUUUUCUUCCAAUAGUGUAGAAGUAUCUAUUUAAAUCGUUCACUGACACAACACGAGGUGAAUCUAUAUCUAUAUAGGAGUAGCUUGCAACUGGUUGAAUAUGAAGUCAUGACUCACAUAUAGUAAUAAGUAGUAGUAUCUAAAAGCAGUACACGCUGACACGUGAAAGCAGAUGUUGAAUAUGAAGUCAUGACUCAUAUAUAUCCAAAAAGCAGUAGAGACACGUGAAAGCAUUACACUGCACUUUAGUUCACUGACACUGACACUAAAACAGUAAGGCAAGAAAACACUAUUUAUAGGACACUACUUAGGGUUAAAGAGUAUUGAAACAGUAAGACUAUUUAAAGGACACCACUGGCACUUAGUGUUAAAAGAGAAACAGUAAGGCAAGAAAACACUAUUUAUAGGACACUACUUAGUGUUAAAGAGUAUUGAAACAGUAAGACUAUUUAAAGGACACCACUGGCACUUAGUGUUAAAAGAGAGUAAAAUACUUCCACUUAUUAAGCCAGUAUGACAUUGAACCAUAUCACAGGAUCCCACAUCACAUCUCUUUUCCCUUCUUCUCUGUAAGAUUAUCAGCAUUGUCCAAAGGGAAAUCGGUUUUCAUUAACUCCCAUUGAAUCACACCCUCUUUCACUUUUGAAAAUGAUGAUGAUCCUUGACCUCUAAGAAAAUUACUUGCCAUUACAUCCAGCUUCUUUGAUAUACCUCUCAAUUCUUCAUAAUCAUCAUCUCUUUCCAGCAUUUUUCUUUUCAGUUUUAGUUGGAACU